rnacentral:tRNA from 1 species
GGAGAGAUGGCUCAGCAGUUAAGAGCACUGAUUUUUCUUUCAGAGGAUCUGGGUUCAAUUCCCAGCACCC